GACGCCGCACGCCGCCACCGCCGCGAAUCCCCAGGGAUGCCACACGCCACCGCCGUCGCGAAUCACGAGAGACGCCGCUCGCCGCCGCCGCGGAUCCCCAAGGGCGUGGUCGCGUUGCCCUGAUUGGAGGAGACCCUGCCCGCCUUGCCUCGUUUGGAGGACGAACACAGGUAUUUCGAGGCCCAUGUGCGUCAAUCCCGACCUCCGCUUUCCCCCUUUUCCAUCGAGGGCCGCCGCCGCUGCUUCGUCUUCUAUCUCUCCCGAUCCCCAUCGGCACCUGCUGGAUGGUGCUCCGGGAACAGGGCCGCACGGAGGCCCUCCUCCCGUAGGAUGUGCAGACGCGGCACGCCUUGCAGCGGCUGUUCGGGAUGAGCGCGGGCGCGACAACCUUGUCCCAGUCGAUGAUGGCGGCGGCGAACGCCGGUGCUCCUUCUCGUCCUCUACCUCCAAGGACGCGCACCGAUACAGCUCAGGCACCCCCGUCCCCAAAUCCCGCCCACCCAUCCGGCGUUGUCCAGCUCAUCCUCACGCUCGUGGAUUCGCCUCCUCCUGUAUGCGACACUUGAAACGUGGACGUGUCUGAAGCAGAACCUCCGUCUUCUAUCUCAACGUCGGCGGCCCGACGACGCCGACUCCUUAUCGACGCCCGUCGACAGCCCGGUGACGCGACCAGAUCACUGCAAAUUGCUCCAUUCAUGUCAGCAGCCUAAUCAGGUUUAUUGUAGAUUGGAGUUGUCCCUUCACUCUUGAUCAAUAACCAGAUAUUGGCAAGCUUGAGUUAUCCAUGGAUGCAUGGAAAAGAUUAUUCAUUGUUGUGAUAUGCAUAUCUGUAGGAUUAAAUUCAUCUGAAUUAUGAGCUAUGUCACACUUUGCAGAGUAUAGAGACUUCAGUUCACAUAAUCUGUUUGUACAUAUGUUGAUGUCAGGUGGAGGUGGUCAUGCUGGCGCCACUGUUUCACUUCGUGCUGAUGCGGUAUAAAAGUGCCUCCUCGGCAGAUGAGGACCUGAGCAUGGUCGUGCUAAUGAGGAUGCAAGAUCCACCGCCAUCGGCCAGUCCGAGUGCGUUGUUGUUUUCAUUCUUUGGGAUUUCGAAAUCAGGUGUUCGUCCCUGAUGAUUUCCGCGAGAUAAACUGAUUUCAUUGGCAUCAUCUAUUUCAUUGCCUCACCAAUAUCCAUGUGAGCCUGAGUUGUAAGUGAAUGUACACAUUGCGUGGUUGUGUUCCUGCAGGUGAUUGCAGAGAACUUGGCAGGCAGAUCAAUUACGAGGAGGUCAGGGUGCCAACAUGAAAAAGCUGGAGAUAUCUCUAUUUUUGUCAGUCAUUAUUCAGGCUCUAAAGCUUCCCCUUUUCCUAUACCACAUUACUUGAUAUUAUUAAAUUCAGUACGCUUACUCAACUGUGAACAAGUUCAUGUGGUAAGUAGGAUCAACAAGAGUUGGCUGGCAACUUCUAUGUAUAUGUUAUUAUGGAUCAGCCAAGGUGGUUAAAUUUUCAAUUUUUUUCCUUUUUCUUAAUUUAAGCCCUUAAGUUUAUGCUGUUAAAUGCAUACACAUAACUUAGUUCCAGAUUUAACAAGAGUACAUUUUACAACAAACUUCAUAGCUGAUGUUGAUCAUAAUUAGUAAGUGCACAAAGCAUUUCAAGGAAUUUAUGUUUUGUGCAUAUUGUAUAUUGCAGACUUGCAGUGAAGUAGUGCCAUCUAAGUACCAGAUGUAUGUUAUUUUCAGAUAAGCUUUUCUUAAAAUGGAAAAUACUAAAAAGCAAAUUGUGCCACACCGUGCAAUUAAGGUGCCUUGUGCUGGAAACUCAAUGCAACUUCUUGUUAUUUUCAAAUAAGCUUUUCUUAAAAUGGAAAAUACUAAAAAGCAGAUUGUGCCACACUGUGCAAUUAAGGUGCCUUUUACUGGAAACUCAAUGCAACUUCUUGUUAUUCCUUCUGAACCUAGCAAUUAAGCCAUAUCUUGUUUUCACUCCUUCUGAACCUAGCAAAAUGACCUGCUUGGACCGAACGAGGACAGGUGUGUGGUGGUGGACAUAAGAUGCACGGCGAACAUUGAGCUACAGAAGAACAUUAUGAAAGAGGUUGGAGAGGCUGGAGGAGACCAUAUACCAAUACAAAGCGCAUCUUGAUGGCCAUCAAUGAGGAGCUGAACCUGCUACACCAGGCUAAUUGCAAGCAUCGGGAUGAUUUGGACGAGAUGACUGAUGAGGACAUGAGCGUUGUCGGAUGAUUUGGACGAGAGGACUGUAGCACGACGCAAUGAAGAGCCAGAUCGUCCGUCCGCUCCCAGCUCACUUCCCGGUUUCGUUGUGCUGCCCGUUGCACCAACCAUCCAGUAAAGGUUCUGAGGUUAACAUCUCUUUUGCGAGUUUCAUAUAACUUUCGUUGUCACUUUAUUAUCUAUUGAUCCACAUAUUUGUAUUUUAGCAGACAUGAGUUACUUUAUCAUCUUUCCAGGAAGAAAUUACUAGAGAGAAGAAAACUCAGUUUUACAAGUAGUGACAGUCCAACAUCAUAUUGACAAGUCUGGUUCCUCUUUCCGUAUACAUAAGUGUAUAAUUUGUUUUAAGUAACUGUUUCCUCGGUCCUUAUUGCCACCGUUUUCUCAAGUGCAACCGCGAGCUUAGUAAUAGCAAGAUAGAAAUUUGAGAUGGCAAAACUGUACGUCCAAUACAAUUUCUAACUUGUGCUUGACUACUUGUUGCUUCUUGCAGUUUGGUUCUUUAAAUAACAAGAAAAGAUGGCAAAACUUUACUCACAAGAAGUUGUGUAUUUUGGAAAGAUAGAUGAUCGAAAUAAACUGUCAUUGUCAUAAAUUUUGUACUGUACAUUAUGCGAUUGGCCUGACCAUCUUCUUCGUCAGUGUCGGAUGUUCGACAUCAAUCUCCAUCUUUUCAUUUUCAGAAUCGCACGUGGGGUUAGUAAAGACUUCUUCAUAUUUGCUUUUGUUGCCACUGCUGCAGGAGAGUUGCCACCUGAUAGCGAUGUUGUCCCUUCAAAAUUGUUUUAAGUUCUUUUUUGCUGAUAUAAGUGCAGACUUUUGCAUUAAGCAUGACAUGGAAUUUGUUUUAUGUAAAUAUUGAUGCUUCACAAUGAAUUCAUGUUGUGAAGGGUGAUGAUUUAUCUUCAGUACAAUCUGUUAUAAGUUGUAGUUUAUUUUGUUUUCAUGUGUUAUUUGUAGAGAAUAUAUGGUUCGUGUUUAUCAUGCUUAUUUCAUAUAGCUUUUUCUGGUAGCAUAUUUGUAACAGAAAUGCAUUAGCCACCCUGUUCAUGAUUCAUAAUGCAUGCGUUUUAGUGGGAUGGAGGUAAUAUUGAGAGAGACAGACCCAUCAGGCUAAGGAAUAGAAAUAGUAUAUCUUUUGAGUCUACCAUCUUCUAUGCCAAGCAGGGUCGAGUGGGGUGAUAUACUAGGCGCUUUUCUUCUAAAUUGUACAGAAAGUCCACUGAGUUAUUGUUGUUUGUAUGACACCUUAGAGCGAAAUAGUACUUCUUUUAAUCAUUUUUAGGUGAAAUGCAAGCAUGUAGCUACCUCACUUAAUUAUUGUACUCACUUGAAGUUUAUGUUGAUAUAAUGCACUAUUUAAGUAGUAGAGAAACCUCACAAAUUUGAAUUGAUGAAUGAUAUUUAGGAAAAGAAGUAGGCAUGUUUCAUUAUAAAGGGAAAGUAUUUUUCAAGGCAUAGUGUUUAAUUCACGGAUGGUUAAACAGUUUAACAGGGACCAACAUUGGGUAGCAGGGGAGUGGCAGUGCAUAGAGACAUAGUGAGGGGAGCGGGGGCGAUGAUGGAGGCGGAGAUGUUUAGAGAGAGAUAUAGAGAGUGGGAGGUUUACCAUGGUGUAAACGAAAACCGAGGCACGCCUUGCUAAGACAAGCACACUUUAAAACAUAGCAAUACUCUGCAUUGUUUUGAUGUUGGUAUCAGGACCAGGUACCAUGUGAAGCUCAAGGAAUGGUUGUAGAUCAUUAUGGAUAAACUGAAAAAAGAUCAUUAUGGAGUACAUUAUAAACGGCAUUUGGUGUCGGUGGCAUGUCACUACCACUGACAAAGUUCUAUGAAACACGAUUACUAUCAUGUACAAUGCUUUACAUUUCUCUCAUAUUCAAAUGCUAAAAUUCUGUAAUUUCACAUUUAGUAGUUUCUGCGGUGUGAAAUUCAUGUUUUAUUUUGCCUGCACAGUUGAAAAUAAAUGCUGGCAAAGAUAUUAAAAUUCAAAUCUGGCUUAUUUUUCUCAAUAUGGGUUCAGAAGGAAAUUGUCGUUGAGCUUCUAUCUAAAGGCACUUUUUCAUUAGAUUUCAGCAGCCUCGAUGGCUGAUGGCAGCAACCUCAUGGGCCACACAUCCCCUUCGUUAAUUGCAUGCCCUCAAAAAAUGGAUGGGGACUUGGUUCUUUGGUUGUCGCCGCCGGACUCAGUGAAGGACGAAAAAUUGAGAUGAUCCAUUGAAGAAUAGAUGCCACGGGCUGAAGAAAGGAGGUGACGGUUUCAGAGCACACACCUUGAAGCAGAGAGGCGGCAAGGGAGUGCGUCUGGAUGGCAGAGGGAGCGGGACAAAGCAACAUCACAUGGGAGACAUGGUCAAAAUCGGCGCCGUAGGAGCAAUCGUGCAUGUGGGGGUCGUACCAGGGAGAAGGAAAAGGGUGGUCGGUGUUGUAGGGCUUUUUUCCUUGCAUCGGGAAAUGGGUUCGGUUGAAAAAAACGAUGAUGUGGGGAGGUCACGCGAGUGGUGGAUACGUGGGUACCGUUUAACGUACCAACUGUGGUUUAAUAGUAGAGAUUAAUAUGUUGAUAUUUUAUUCAUUUUCUUCUUAGCUGAACAUUCAUUAAACCAAAAAUCUAUGAAACUUGUAAUGUAUCAUGGUCGCAAUUUGUGAAGUAGAACUAACUAUCCUUUGACCAAAUACCCUUUGAUCGUUCAUCAAUUUUUAUGUACUUGUCGCCCGUGACAACAAAUAUGGAUCAAAUAACUAUGCACUAUGGGCACUAAUAUGGUUACCUUCAAAUGGGUUUGUUACUGUGUUUAGUUACUAUGAUGUUUCAUAUGUUCAUCAGAAAAAAUAAAGGCUUAUUUGCUUGCAUGUGCUUUCUCAUGUUUGUUUGUUUUUUCUUGUGGUUGUUCCUUUUCUAUAAUUGUCACAUAAAGUGAACCGAAACUCAUAUUCUAUAUUUCUGUU